GGGUUGUGAGGUUAAGUGACUAAGCGUACACGGUGGAUGCCUAGGCAGUCAGAGGCGAUGAAGGACGUGCUAAUCUGCGAUAAGCGUCGGUGAGCUGAUAUGAAGCAUUAUUAGCCGGCGAUGUCCGAAUGGGGAAACCCAGUGCAAUCCGUUGCACUAUCGUUAAGUGAAUACAUAGCUUAACGAGGCGAACCAGGGGAACUGAAACAUCUAAGUACCCUGAGGAAAAGAAAUCAACCGAGAUUCCCCCAGUAGCGGCGAGCGAACGGGGAAGAGCCCAGAACCUGAAUCAGUUUGUGCAUUAGUGGAAGCGUCUGGAAAGUCGCGCGAUACCGGGUGAUAGCCCCGUACACGAAGGUGCACAGCUGUGAGUUCGAUGAGUAGGGCGGGACACGUGUUAUCCUGUCUGAAUAUGGGGGGACCAUCCUCCAAGGCUAAAUACUCCUGACUGACCGAUAGUGAACCAGUACCGUGAGGGAAAGGCGAAAAGAACCCCGGCGAGGGGAGUGAAAUAGAACCUGAAACCGUGUACGUACAAGCAGUGGGAGCAUCCUUCGGGGUGUGACUGCGUACCUUUUGUAUAAUGGGUCAGCGACUUAUAUUUUGUAGCAAGGUUAACCGAAUAGGGGAGCCGUAGGGAAACCGAGUCUUAACUGGGCGUCUAGUUGCAAGGUAUAGACCCGAAACCCGGUGAUCUAGCCAUGGGCAGGUUGAAGGUUGGGUAACACUAACUGGAGGACCGAACCGACUAAUGUUGAAAAAUUAGCGGAUGACUUGUGGCUGGGGGUGAAAGGCCAAUCAAACCGGGAGAUAGCUGGUUCUCCCCGAAAGCUAUUUAGGUAGCGCCUCGUGAACUCAUCUUCGGGGGUAGAGCACUGUUUCGGCUAGGGGGUCAUCCCGACUUACCAACCCGAUGCAAACUACGAAUACCGAAGAAUGUUAUCACGGGAGACACACGGCGGGUGCUAACGUCCGUCGUGAAGAGGGAAACAACCCAGACCGCCAGCUAAGGUCCCAAAGUCAUGGUUAAGUGGGAAACGAUGUGGGAAGGCAUAGACAGCCAGGAUGUUGGCUUAGAAGCAGCCAUCAUUUAAAGAAAGCGUAAUAGCUCACUGGUCGAGUCGGCCUGCGCGGAAGAUGUAACGGGGCUAAACCAUGCACCGAAGCUGCGGCAGCGACACUAUGUGUUGUUGGGUAGGGGAGCGUUCUGUAAGCCUGUGAAGGUGGCCUGUGAGGGCUGCUGGAGGUAUCAGAAGUGCGAAUGCUGACAUAAGUAACGAUAAAGCGGGUGAAAAGCCCGCUCGCCGGAAGACCAAGGGUUCCUGUCCAACGUUAAUCGGGGCAGGGUAAGUCGACCCCUAAGGCGAGGCCGAAAGGCGUAGUCGAUGGGAAACAGGUUAAUAUUCCUGUACUUGGUGUUAUUGCGAAGGGGGGACGGAGAAGGCUAGACCGGCCGGGCGACGGUUGUCCCGGUUUAAGCGUGUAGGUGUGAUGACCUGGCAAAUCCGGUUAUCUUUAACACUGAGGCGUGAUGACGAGGCACUACGGUGCUGAAGUGGUUAAUGCCCUGCUUCCAGGAAAAGCCUCUAAGCUCUAGAUAACACUGAAUCGUACCCCAAACCGACACAGGUGGUCAGGUAGAGAAUACCAAGGCGCUUGAGAGAACUCGGGUGAAGGAACUAGGCAAAAUGGUGCCGUAACUUCGGGAGAAGGCACGCUGGCAUGUAGGUGAAGUCCCUCGCGGAUGGAGCCGAAGCCAGUCGAAGAUACCAGCUGGCUGCAACUGUUUAAUAAAAACACAGCACUCUGCAAACACGAAAGUGGACGUAUAGGGUGUGACGCCUGCCCGGUGCUGGAAGGUUAAUUGAUGGGGUCAGCCGCAAGGCGAAGCUCUUGAUCGAAGCCCCAGUAAACGGCGGCCGUAACUAUAACGGUCCUAAGGUAGCGAAAUUCCUUGUCGGGUAAGUUCCGACCUGCACGAAUGGCGUAAUGAUGGCCAGGCUGUCUCCACCCGAGACUCAGUGAAAUUGAACUCGCUGUGAAGAUGCAGUGUACCCGCGGCAAGACGGAAAGACCCCGUGAACCUUUACUAUAGCUUGACACUGAACAUUGAACCUUGAUGUGUAGGAUAGGUGGGAGGCUUUGAAGUGUGGACGCCAGUCUGCAUGGAGCCGACCUUGAAAUACCACCCUUUAAUGUUUGAUGUUCUAACCUGGUCCCGUAAUCCGGGAUAGGGACAGUGUCUGGUGGGUAGUUUGACUGGGGCGGUCUCCUCCCAAAGAGUAACGGAGGAGCACGAAGGUUAGCUAAUCCUGGUCGGACAUCAGGAGGUUAGUGCAAAGGCAUAAGCUAGCUUGACUGCGAGAGUGACGGCUCGAGCAGGUGCGAAAGCAGGUCUUAGUGAUCCGGUGGUUCUGAAUGGAAGGGCCAUCGCUCAACGGAUAAAAGGUACUCCGGGGAUAACAGGCUGAUACCGCCCAAGAGUUCAUAUCGACGGCGGUGUUUGGCACCUCGAUGUCGGCUCAUCACAUCCUGGGGCUGAAGUAGGUCCCAAGGGUAUGGCUGUUCGCCAUUUAAAGUGGUACGCGAGCUGGGUUUAGAACGUCGUGAGACAGUUCGGUCCCUAUCUGCCGUGGGCGUUGGAAGAUUGAGAGGGGCUGCUCCUAGUACGAGAGGACCGGAGUGGACGCACCGCUGGUGUUCGGGUUGUGAUGCCAAUUGCAUUGCCCGGUAGCUACGUGCGGAAGAGAUAAGCGCUGAAAGCAUCUAAGCGCGAAACUUGCCUCGAGAUGAGUCUUCCCUUGGACCUUGAGUCCACUGAAGGAACGUUUAAGACUAAGACGUUGAUAGGCUGGGUGUGUAAGCGUAGCGAUACGUUGAGCUAACCAGUACUAAUGAUCCGUGAGGCUUAACCUUACAACACCGAAGGUGUUU
rnacentral:rRNA from 1 species